rnacentral:lncRNA from 1 species
UUAACCUGAUCAACGAUACAGCUUAAUUUAUACUAAUAGCUUAAAAAUCGGUAUCAGCACAAAUACCGAUUCCAACAAUUAAUAUUAGAGCAAGUGGCAAAGGAUUUGGUGGUUAGUAUCCGAGGUCCUAAGUUUGAAUCCUAGUUGAUUCACAUGUCAGGCUAAGUUUAUUUCUAAAUGAAAUAAACGAAGCGAAUAUAGCGUACUAUCUAUCUCUCAAAAAAAAUAAUAAUUAAUAUCAGAGCAAAUCACGCUUCCAACACGGUUGAAUUUGAAAACAAGGAAUGCUUAUUAAU